UGCCCUCUUCUGGAGUGUCUGAAAACAGU
rnacentral:piRNA from 1 species